UACGUAGGGUGCGAGCGUUAAUCGGAAUUACUGGGCGUAAAGCGUGCGCAGGCGGUUAUGUAAGACAGGUGUGAAAUCCCCGGGCUUAACCUGGGAACUGCAUUUGUGACUGCAUAGCUAGAGUACGGUAGAGGGGGAUGGAAUUCCGCGUGUAGCAGUGAAAUGCGUAGAUAUGCGGAGGAACACCGAUGGCGAAGGCAAUCCCCCUGGACCUGUACUGACGCUCAUGCACGAAAGCGUGGGGAGCAAACAGG
rnacentral:rRNA from 1 species